AAGAUGUAAAUAUCUCAAGAUGAAAUACAGGUUAUUCUCAAUUUUGUUGGCCAGACGAGGAGUCCAAUGGAAUAGAAGGACUAAUAGAGUAGUGUUUGCCCAUGAAGGGGUGUGGCUAUCAUAUGCCAUGGAACAACCAGGGGCACGCCUAUUUCGUUACUACGGCAUUCAGCCAAGGCUUUUUGAUGCCAUGCGUGACGUCUUUGAAACCGGAGUUUCAAUAGAUGGAAGAGCAUUGUGAUACAAGUUUCUUCUUAAGCCAAAGGUGUUUUACAAUUAUGCAGUACUGUCUGCCAGGGUUACAUCCUUAAUCAUAUUCAGUCCAGUCUAAACACUAUUUACUGUUACUUUUCAUAUGAGUUGAAUUAUAACAUCAGCUGAAUCUUUUAUGCAAAGGUUGAGAUUACACCAUUUUUCUUUGAUAAGUUUCCUGUUAUAAUUUUUCAACGGAUAAAUAAAUGACCAAAUCACUACAUCCAAAGGUGUGGCAUAUAAGCCAAUGAAGUUGGUGAAAACCAAGGACGAUCUAGUUCACUUGUGCUGACGGAAGGUAGCAAGUACCCGAACACCACGUUAUUAAAAAAAGGUCAAAUUGCCAUUACUUGUCUUUUAACAUGCUUUGAUAAUAUAUUUGCCUAGCAGUAGGCAGGGCCGGAGCCAGGUGGGAGCAAGGGGGUUCAUCCGAACCCCUUUCGGCGUAAGUUAAAAUUAUUUUUAUGUAUAUAGUAGAUAUUGAAUCCCCUUUGCUUCUUCGUGUGUUUACAUGAGGGAAUCUAUGUAUUACUUUUAUGUAGGAUAGAAGGUGGAAUAACUAAAUCCUGCAUAACAUAAUAAUAUAUAAAUUCCCUUAUAAAUAAUCCCUGUAUUACUAAUACGUGCAAUAACUCUAACCAACUACCAAACGACAAUAUAUAGGAUAACUUGAU